UAGGCUUACGCAGGCGCAGUGGAGACUCGAGCCGAGCGACGGUUAGCGGCGGCCGAAGGGUUGGCGCCUGAGAGAAAAGCAGCCGGAGAAGCGCGAGGCGUUCCUGCUCCGGGUCAUCCCCGCAUCGCUUCUUCUCUCGGCGGCCCCGGCGUUCGGUCGGCGUGGCAACCCUGUUCCCUCGCGCGCCCUUGCCGCUCCUUCGGCCGCGGAUGCAGCGCCGCGAGGACCUCGCCGCCGCCCGCCUGGGCAGGGCCCCGGGCGCCGCCAUCUCGCCCCGCCUCCAGUCGGCCCAGGCCGCGGGCGCGUCGCGCAGGCCGGGCCGGGGCGGAGGGGCUCGGGGGGCUCAGCCGCCGCCCCUCCUGCCGCCCUCCGCCACCGGCUCGGCCCCGCCGGCCCCCACCUCCGCACCCACUCCGCUUAUGCCUGGCACCGCCUCGGUCAAGGCCGAGCCCGAGAACAAGUACUUGCCCGAGCUGAUGGCCGAGAAGGACAGCCUGGACCCCUCCUUCACGCACGCCAUGCAGCUCCUGCAAGCAGAAAUUGACAAAAUUCAGAAAGAUGAGCCAAAGAAGGAUGAGGAAGAGACCUAUUUGGACUUGUUUUCCCACAAGAACAUGAAGCUGAAGGAACGAGUUCUGAUACCAGUCAAGCAGUAUCCCAAGUUUAACUUCGUUGGGAAGAUACUGGGACCCCAAGGAAACACCAUCAAGCGACUGCAGGAAGAAACUGGAGCAAAGAUCUCUGUUCUUGGAAAGGGGUCCAUGAGAGACAAGGCAAAGGAGGAGGAACUGCGCAAAGGAGGUGAUCCAAAGUAUGCUCACUUAAAUAUGGACCUGCAUGUCUUCAUUGAAGUUUUUGGGCCACCUUGUGAGGCCUAUGCUUUAAUGGCCCAUGCCAUGGAAGAGGUCAAGAAGUUCCUUGUUCCGGAUAUGAUGGAUGACAUCUGCCAGGAACAGUUUUUGGAGCUGUCCUAUCUUAAUGGAGUACCAGAACCAACACGUGGCCGAGGGCUUCCUGUGCGAGGAAGGGGAGCUGUGCCUCCACCUCCCCCAGUUCCAAGGGGACGUGGCGUGGGACCUCCACCACCACCUCCACGUGGAGCCCUGGUACGAGGAGCCCCAGUGAGGGGAGCCAUUGCAAGAGGAGCGGGUGUCGCUCGUGGGGUUCCUCCUCUUCCAGCAGUGAGAGGUGCCCCUACCCCAAGAGCUCGUGCAGCAGGCAUUCAAAGAAUACCUCUUCCUCCCCCUCCUGCACCAGAGGCGUACGAAGAUUAUGGCUAUGACGAUGCUUACGCGGAGCAAAGCUACGAAGGGUAUGAAGGCUACUACAGCCAGGGUCAACAGGAAACUGAAUAUUAUGACUAUGGACAUGGUGAGGCACAAGAGUCCUAUGAAGCAUAUGGUCAAGAUGAUUGGAAUGGAACUAGGCCUUCACUCAAGGCCCCUCCGGCUAGGCCAGUGAAGGGAGCAUACAGAGAGCACCCAUAUGGCCGCUAUUAAAGCAUUCAUGAGGGGGAAAUAUCACAUAUGAGCAAACAGUUGUUUCUGAUUCUUGUAUCUCCCAGGAUUCCUGUUGCUUUACCUACAACAGACAAGAGGUGGUCUGCCAUUCAUUGGGAUGAAAGCAGUUUGUGCUGAGGACAAGUUGGGUAUGCUAUUCAGCAGUUUCUGGUUUUCAGAACCAAAGACUUCUAUAACUCCCAAUGGCUAAAUUGGCAUGGCGAGCCCACAAACCCUAGUGCACAAUUUCAGUAUUCUUUUUAAUAAAGGGAGGAAUAUGUGAGUGAAAUGGAGAUAAAGAAACUCAGCUACACCAUACAUUCUGUUCACUCUGGUUUCUCUGCAAAGGAAAAGUUGAGUUUUGCAUAACUGUAUAUAUGUUCUGCAUAAUUUGUUAUCAAUUUGCAUUGUUAUGGUUUGUGCUAGCCUUGGGCAGAGUGUGUAUUAGACGUAUGAACAGCACUGAAUCCCCAGCCUGUGGGAAUCGUAAUUAGCAUGCUUCUCCGCAUACUUUCAAGCAUCUUUGCAGUUCUUAUAAAAAAGAAAUUCUAGUCCUUUUUUAAAACAAAACCUUUUCAAAAUGAAUUUUAUAUUCUAUAAUGCAUUCCACUUGUUUUUCGGGCAAACAAAGCCCCCUGAUUAAUAUAGAUGCUGCUUUAGAGGGAAAUCUGUUCUACCAUUUCCGAAUUCUUUGUGUAAAUAAUAUGAGCAAAUGGCUCUGUCCAACUGGCUGGUUGUCUUAAGGGUUGGGUGAAAUUAAUGAGGAUCGAUUGGUCUUGUGAAUGUCAAUCUCAGCCGUUGUGUUCCCUCUCAGAAGUGGAACCAUUAGUGCCCUGAAAGCUGAAGAUGUUAAACCACAUCAUACUAAAAAUGUUGUGUAAAUGACCAACAAUUACUGGUGAUUUGCUGGAAAAGAGGCUAUUGUAUGGGUGGUACACGUGGUCCCUUGUUAGCAAUUUAACCAUGGACUAAUGGAGGAGCUCCCUCUGGUGGUUGCCAGAAUGAUUUUUCUCUGAGUUGGUUAGAAAUUGUUUGCAUUCUUCAGGCCCAAGAGAGUCUGCAUGUCCAAGCCUGAAGGCAACUAGUUGUAGAAGAUAUCAGUAGGCUUUAAAAGGCAGUGGGCCUGCCUUGAACUUUUCUGACCGAGCUGGUCUGGAAAACAUUCCAGUUUUAAAAUAUGAAAUUCUAGCCUCAAUGCAUUUAGACCCGGGCCACCAUCACAGGAAGAAAAAGCCACUUCUGUGCCAAGAAAACCAGAAUUUUGCUGUUUGAAUAAAUGUUGUGGGUGCACAAAGAAUGCUUGUAUAUUUAGAUCUGUUUAGGGUAUCCCCAGACUUUGUGUCGUGCAAUUGCAAUCCCCCCCCAAUUCUGCUUUUAUAGAAACUUGUUUCUUAUGGAGCCAGUUCCCUGUUUUUACCCUUCUUCACCCAGCUAAUGUCAAAGGCUAUGAAGCGAAGAACUCAAUAGUUCUGCCCCUUUUAUUCUGCCACCAUGUAAUUCAUUGUAUAUACUGGAUGUGACAGGAAUAGCUUUUGUUUGUGUGUCAUUUUCUCUGACAUGUAGUUGACCUCCGCUCAACAGGUUUUGAACUGAGGGGGGGCAAAGUAUUUACAACUUGAACAUUACUGGAGUGAAUUCAGCAUUGAGAUACGUUGUAUUUAUUAAAUGAACUGUUGAUCCCAGCCCAUUCCUGCUGUGAAUGGCUACAUAUUUCACAGAAGCCAGCCCUCUCACAGGCUGCUGCUUCACAAACUAAAAUAGUCUCUUCAGAUUUACAGCUCUCAGCUCUCUCUCUCUGACUGAAUUUAAUGGCUCUCAACAGCCAGUCUCUCCUAACAUUCCAUCAGCUCCCAUUGGCUGUUAAUUGGGAGAGGCAGAACUGGACCUGUCUGUCAUAGUGGGCUAAGGAGGAUGGGAAGGGCUUGGUGUGUUGGUUGUUCUUGAUGUGAAAUGUGCAGUUGUUGAUUAUGCCAGUGGUUCUUAAACUUUGUGAUGCGAAAGACUACCGCUAUGACCACUGUCUUUUAAUGGGUCAGCAAAUUUUCUUAUCUUAAAAAGUUUUCUGAACUAGCUUAGGUCUGAAUUUCUCCUCAUAUUGCAUGCAUGGGCCAGUGCAUGGCCAACCAGGAGGAUCUUUGCAUACUUGUAAAGGCAAGCUGCUUUUCCAUUUUGAAAAUGAAGUUUAGAAGUGGGUGACCCCUUCACUUGUGAUGGAAAUUUUAUUUUAUUCUAUUUGUAUUCCGCCCUCCCCGCACCAGCAGGCCCCCCUCCAGCUUUUUAAGCAUUGCUCUCUUAAUUUCAUCAUGGUUGCGGGUUCCAUCUGAACUGUGGUCCAUGGAUGACAGUUUAAGAACCACUGGUACAUAAUUUUUGCAGUGGUAAUAGCUGCCUGCAGUAACGUUUUUCUUUUUCUCCACUAGGCAAGUCUUCAGUCCCCAGAAAAAAUGAAUUGGAAGCUGCCUGUUAACAGGGCGUAUUCUUACCAAGAAGUGAACUUCUGAGUCUUACUAGUAGUUUCUGUAAAUCAUAGCUCAGCAGAGGCUUCGAAGAUUUUUCGCCAGAUUUGUGUUUUGGGUCCGGAGUCAUUUUCAGACACAGUUCAGCCUCCUCAAGAUGAAUGUGUCAGCAAGUAACUGUCUGGGACACAGUGUACUGUUAUGCUAGCAUAACUUUAGCACAACACAGUGUGUUGAAGAUGGUUGAGGCAUUUCCCCUAUAAAUUUAUUCACUGUGUGCUUCUCUUGAGUAACAUCAUCAGAUUGGCGCUCUUAGAAGUUCUUUUCUUGUAUUAGGAUGCUGUUAAGUAUAUUUUAAUAAAGAGAUUUCUUUUUUU